rnacentral:rRNA from 1 species
CCUACGGGAGGCAGCAGUGGGGAAUAUUGCACAAUGGGGGAAACCCUGAUGCAGCGACGCCGCGUGAGUGAAGAAGUAUUUCGGUACGUAAAGCUCUAUCAGCAGGGAAGAAAAUGACGGUACCUGACUAAGAAGCCCCGGCUAACUACGUGCCAGCAGCCGCGGUAAUACGUAGGGGGCAAGCGUUAUCCGGAUUUACUGGGUGUAAAGGGAGCGUAGACGGCAGCGCAAGUCUGGAGUGAAAUCCCAUGGCUUAACCAUGGAACUGCUUUGGAAACUGUGCAGCUAGAGUGCAGGAGAGGUAAGCGGAAUUCCUAGUGUAGUGGUGAAAUGCGUAGAUAUUAGGAGGAACACCAGUGGCGAAGGCGGCUUACUGGACUGUAACUGACGUUGAGGCUCGAAAGCGUGGGGAGCAAACAGGAUUAGAUACCCGAGUAGUC